rnacentral:rRNA from 1 species
UACAGAGGUCUCAAGCGUUGUUCGGAUUCAUUGGGCGUAAAGCGCACGUAGGCGGUUCGUUAUGUCGGAUGUGAAAGCCCUUGGCUUAACCGAGGAAGUGCAUCCGAAACUGGCGAGCUAGAGUACUAAAAGAGGAUCGCGGAAUUCCCCGGUGUAGAGGUGAAAAUUCGUAGAUAUCGGGAGGAACACCGGUGGCGAAGGCGGCGAUCUGGGUAGAUACUGACGCUGAGGUGCGAAACGUGGGGGACAAACAGG